CUUAAACACCUAAAACACUUGUCCAGCUUCCUUCCUAGAUAGGUAGCUGCUAUGACACACACACCACCCUUCUUAACUGCUUAAACGACUUUCCAAACAAGGAAACAUACUCCUCUGCAUUCUUCUUUCACAAACCAAAUUCCAAACCUUCACUUUUUACUCCACGUUUCACUUAUUGCCCUCAAUCCCAUUCCGAUUACCCUGCAUUAUAUCCACUUUUCCUCUGUUUUUUUCAUUCCUCUGCUUCUCUCUCCUCUGUUUCCAUUUUUCUUUUUUCUUUUUUACUUUUUCUAGUUGUAUGAAUUUUUCUUCUGUGUUUUAUGGCAAGUCCGAAUCUGCUUAUUUUCUUCCACACAUGAAGAUAAACUUGAUCAUCACAAGAGUGAAUUAAAUUAAAUUAACUUUGUUAGAAUCAUAAUCAAUCUAGUUUUUUUCCCCCCCAAAAAUGAACUAUUUGUACCCGGUGAAAGAAGAGUAUUUGGAAUCGUCACCACCAUCGUCUUUAUCACUAUCAACUCACGGAAUAGUUGAUGAGUCAGGGAUGGCUCCUGCUCCGAGGCCAAUGGAGGGGCUUCACGAAAUAGGGCCACCCCCGUUUCUUACCAAGACUUUCGAUGCAGUGGAGGACCCCACCACUAGUCACAUAGUUUCAUGGAGCAGAGGAGGUGCAAGCUUUGUGGUUUGGGAUCCACACGCUUUCUCCAGAGACCUUCUUCCAAGAUACUUCAAGCACAAUAAUUUCUCAAGCUUUGUUAGGCAACUAAACACUUACGGUUUUAGGAAAAUUGAUCCAGAUAAGUGGGAGUUUGCAAAUGAAGGGUUUCUUAGAGGGCAUAGACACUUGUUGGCAAACAUAAGGAGAAGGAAGCAUCCUUCCCAGCCUUGUCCCUCUCAACAAGCACAAGGUCACUGUGUUGAAGUUGGUCGUUUUGGCCUAGAUGAAGAGGUUGAUCGUUUGAAGCGUGACAAACAGGUUUUGAUGUUGGAGCUUGUGAGGCUUAGACAGCAGCAACAGAACACAAAGUCGUACCUUGAGGCAAUGGAGAAGAGGCUAAGAGGGACAGAAAUUAAGCAGCAACAAAUGAUGGCUUUUUUGGCUAGAGCCUUGAAGAACCCCACUUUCAUUCAGCAGCUACUUCAGCAGAAGGAGAAGAGGAAGGAGCUUGAAGAGGCCAUGUCAAAGAAGAGGAGAAGGCCAAUUGAGCAAGGGCAUAGUGGGGUUGGAGAAUCAAGCAGAGGGGAAUUAGGAAGGGCUAGUGUGAAAGCCGAGUCACUAGUGUUUGGAGAAUAUGGAUUUGAAGUGUCAGAGUUGGAAUUGCUUGCUAUGGAGAUGCAAGGCUAUGGUAGGGGGAGGAGGGAGCAAGAGGAGGAGCCUGAGGUAUUCGAGUCACAAGAGAGGCUUGAGAAAGAGCUUGAUGAAGGGUUUUGGGAAGAAUUUUUCAGUGAGGGUUUUGAGGGUGAAUUUGAUAUCCCACAAGGCCAAGAUGAAGAAGAUGUCAAUGUGUUGGCCAAUCGCUUUGGUUACUUGGGUUCAAGUCCUAAAUGAACCACAAUGGAUCAAGAUUAAUUAACCUUCAAGUAGUGAGUUUUUAUCACUCAUGUGGUGGAGGCAUCAUUGAUCAUUCCAAAGUUGGCAGGAUCAGGAUAUAAUGUGGAAACGAUUUACUGUGGUGUUUCUAAGUUCUAAGUUCUAACCCCCCAUUAUAUGAUGAUGAUGAUGUCCUUUUGUAGCACUUUGUAAAACCUAAAAAUUUCUCACUUUGCUCUAUGUUUGAUUAGGUAGGUUGCAGGUGUUGCUUGGACAAGAAUCUGUGGUAGUGAUAGCGAACGUUAUUUACUCAAGAUUAUUCAGAAGAUGUAGAAUGGAUACGAAGUAGCUGGUCUCCAAGAAUCAUUCAUAACAGUUGGUGGUUAACCUUGUCGGUUUGAUUUUUUUCAUCCUUUAUACUUUUUCAUUGCUUGGACUUCCUCAUGUGGUCCUAAAUAAAACGAGGCCACAAUCCACGAAUUUCAUGAUGUUAAUGUUUUUGUGA